UUCAAAACGACAAAUCCUAAUGGCUUAUCAGAUGCAAGACCAUGACGAUUCCAAUUCCACUUUCACAUCUGCAUCAGGAAGAUGGAAUUCCGUUUGAAGAAGUUUAAAUGUUUUUAAUCAUGAAAACAUUUAAACUUCUUUUAACUACUUUUUUUAAUGUUAUUUAAAUGAAUGCUUUUUCAAAAAGCAGAUUUGAAACUAGUAGAUGCAUGGACUAAAUUGUCAUUGGCUUUG
rnacentral:misc_RNA from 1 species